rnacentral:rRNA from 1 species
CCUACGUGUGGCUGCAGUGGGGAAUAUUGCACAAUGGGGGAAACCCUGAUGCAGCAACGCCGCGUGAGUGAAGAAGUAUUUCGGUAUGUAAAGCUCUAUCAGCAGGGAAGAAGAUGACGGUACCUGAGUAAGAAGCCCCGGCUAACUACGUGACAGCAGCCGCGGUAAUACGUAGGGGGCAAGCGAUAGCCUGAUUUACUGGGUGCAAAGGGAGCUUAGACGGUGAGACAAGUCUGAAGUGAAAGCCCGGGGCUCAAACCCGGGAAUGGUUGGGAAACUGCCUGACUGGAGUGCUUGAGAGGCAAGCGGAAUUCCUAGUGUAGCGGUGAAAUGCGUAGAUAUUAGGAAGAACACCAGGGGCGAAGGCGGCUUGCUGGACAGUAACUGACGUUGAGGCUCGAAAGCGUGGGGAGCAAACAGGAUGAGAUACCCUGGUAGUC